AUUGAACGCUGGCGGCAGGCCUAACACAUGCAAGUCGAGCGAGCGGCGGACGGGUGAGUAAUGUCUGGGAAACUGCCCGAUGGAGGGGGAUUACUACUGGAAACGGUAGCUAAUACCGCAUACCUUUAGAUGUGCCCAGUUGGGAUUAGCUAGUAGGUGGGGUAACGGCUGACAUGGGCGACGAUCCCUAGCUGGUCUGAGAGGAUGACCAGGCACACUGGAACGGAGAGAAGGUCCAGACUCCUACGGGAGGCAGCUGUGGGGAAUAUUGCACAAUGGGCGCAAGCCUGAAGCAGCCAUGCCGCGUGUGUGAAGAAGGCCUUCGGGUUGUAAAGCACUUUCAGCGGGGAGGCGUUACCCGCAGAAGAAGCACCGGCUAACUCCGUGCCAGCAGCCGCGGUAAUUC
rnacentral:rRNA from 1 species